rnacentral:rRNA from 1 species
AUGCUUGAAGAUUUUGAAGAUGAAACCGACUUCAACCUGUGGGCAGCCACGAUGAAGAAGAUUAAGAUGCCACGUAAGAUGAGAUCGAUGCAAAAGCGCCUACAAAAGAUGGACCGUGAUAGUUAUGGUGUUCAGCCAGAAACUCGCUGCGAGGAGCGGCAAGUUCCUGACAUCCGGGAAACAGCAGGAUAUGUGGAGGAGGCAGAAAUCAUCUGGAGGGCUGAUGACGAAAGGAAAAUCUUGGAUUGCAUAUCUGGGAGCAAUAGUUAUUUCCCUCUGCUUUCGAUCACAGUGAUUGGAGUCAGUAAGUAG